rnacentral:rRNA from 1 species
AGGACGAACGCUGGCGGCGUGCUUAACACAUGCAAGUCGAGCGGAAAGGCCCUUCGGGGUACUCGAGCGGCGAACGGGUGAGUAACACGUGAGUAACCUGCCCCAAACUUUGGGAUAACCCUCGGAAACGGGGGCUAAUACCGGAUAUGACACAGCUUCGCAUGGGGUCUGUGUGGAAAGUUUUUCGGUUUGGGAUGGGCUCGCGGCCUAUCAGCUUGUUGGUGGGUGAUGGCCUACCAAGGCGACGACGGGUA